rnacentral:lncRNA from 1 species
CCUACCUCUCCUAUAGCUCCAUUUUCUCCUCAGAUCGGUUCCGGCAGCGCUUGGUAAAGCCCUGCUCGCACUGCUCCACCCUCAUCUCCACCAUCCAUCAUGCUGGUUGAGAUCUCAUCUACUUCUCCUUCCUCUCUUGCUGGAUCAUGAAGGAGGAGAUGUCAUCGAGCCGUAUGUGUGCUGAAUGUGGAGGUGUCAUUCGUUCGACGCUAGAUCGGGACGUGAUUGCAAUUGGAUCGUGAAGACGUACGACAACAUCAACCGUGUUAUAUAUGCUUUCGCUUAGCGAUCUACAUGGGUAUAUAGAUGCACUCCCCGUCUCGAAGUUGUUAGUCUCCAUAGACUGAUCUUGGUGAGCGUAGGAUUUUUUUUGUUUCCCAUGUGACGUUCCCAAACAGUCACUCUCGCGAGCACUAACAACCAACCAGCACUUGAGCUACACUACAUUGUGAGAACGACUCAUUUCCCCCUUCUCCCGUGCCACCAGACACUGUUCCUUGCCGUUCCCAGCCCAGCCACGCCCCACCUUGUGCCAGCCGUGUUGCGCGCCGCACUGCCCAGCCAUUCCCCUUGCCUACCCGCUCAUCGAAGAGCCUCUCCCUCUGUCGUGCUGUCUGGCCACUCUCUUCCUCCGUCGGUAUGUAUGGCCGACCCGUUCUCCCUGCUCCCCCACACCAUCGUGCAGUCUUCACGAGCGCCCCCACCCCCCUAACGCCCUCUCGAUCCGGAUGGUAAAAAACUUCCUCUAACCAAUUGAUGAAAUGUGUUAUAUGUUGCAUCGUUUGUUCUUGUGAAUUGUGUCGCACCAUAUCUCUUUAUGCAGGGAAUGUCGAAAAAGUUAGCAAUGUUUUGUUAAAACAUGGAUUCAAUUCCGUUUCAUCAAAUUUCUGGCACUCAAUAUGUCCAUUUUUGUCAAUGUUCCAGUCAAAAUUUUCCAUAUUUAAGUAGAUGACACAUAUUUUGGUUGUGCUAAUUCCAAAGCUUACAGAUGCAUGAUACAUGCCACUAGUCCAUACCUUAAACAAAGGGAACAUUUAUAGAAAAUGCAUGUGGUACGAGUUUCGACUAUAUAGCAUGUGUGUCACAUAUAUAAAUUCUCUUACACAAGUCAAAUGUGGGUUACUACAUUGCUUAUUAUGUUACUAUUUUGUUCAAGGACAGACGCUCCCAAGAUGUGUUGUGCCUCCGGUGAUGGAUGACCACCACGGUGAUGGACAUGCAUGGGUUUUUCUAUUCUUCAAGAUUGUUCCUUAAGGAGAAGAGUUCCGUACUAGUAGUUAUCAUUGUAAAUGUAUGCAUAUCUUGUGUUAUACGUGUACAUAUGUGUUGUCAUAGAUUAUUGUAAUCAAUGUGGGACGCAAACAUCGCUAUGUAUAUACUCAUACAAAAUUGUGUUGUCGUGGAAUCAUUUUUUUCUACC